CCUACGGGAGGCUGCAGUAGGGAAUCUUCCACAAUGGACGCAAGUCUGCUGGAGCAACGCCGCGUGAGUGAAGAAGGGUUUCGGCUCGUAAAGCUCUGUUGGUAGUGAAGAAAGAUAGAGGUAGUAACUUGCCUUUAUUUGACGGUAAUUACUUAGAAAGUCACGGCUAACUACGUGACAGCAGCCUCGGUAAUGCGUAGGUGGCAAGCGUUGUCCGGAUUUAUUGGGCGUCAAGAGAGUGCUGGCGGUUCAAUAAGUCUGAUGUGAAAGCCUUCGGCUCAACCGGAGAAUUGCAUCAGAAACUGUUGAACUUGAGUGCAGAAGAGGAGAGUGGAACUCCAAGUGUAGCGGUGGAAUGCGUAGAUAUAUGGAAGAACACCAGUGGCGAAGGCGGCUCCCUGGUCUGCAACUGACGCUGAGGCUCGAAAGCAUGGGUAGCGAACAGGAUUAGAUACCCCAGUAGUC
rnacentral:rRNA from 1 species